CAGAGUGUUAAAACUCCCUAAACCCGUGUGAACAUUACCUUUUGUUGCUUCGGCGAGUCGUCCCGGGCGCCGCUGUGUGCCCCGGAUCCAGGCGCUCGCCGGAGGACUCCAACUCUUGUUUUGCAAGUGGUAUCUCUGAGUGGAUUAAACAAAUAAAUCA
rnacentral:misc_RNA from 1 species